rnacentral:tRNA from 1 species
UCUUGGUUUGUUCAGUUGGUAGAGCGUUCCACUGGAAAUACAGAGGUCCUUGGUUCGAUAUCAGGACCAGGCG